rnacentral:lncRNA from 1 species
AGAGGGAGGUUUUGCCCUUAGAUUUCAUGUGAUUAUUUUUCAGCUUUUAUCCUAUUGUUUAUUUUAUUUCUUUUUUUCUUAUACUAUAAAUAAUUAUUAAGUUUGUUAUAUUUUAUAUUUUUAUGUUUGUAUUUCUUUUUCGUUUUUACUAUAAUUAAUAAUAAUGAUUGUUAUAUUUUAUAUUUCUUUAUAUUUAUAUUUUUUCAUUCCUCUUUUGUCGUUUAUUUCUAUAUAUUUUUUAUUUUCUAUUUUACUAUUUUACCUUACUUAAUUAUUUUUUUUAUGUUUAUUUUUUUAUUUUUUAUUCUAUUAGAUCCUAUUUAUAUAGUAUAGACAUAUUGUUCUAUGAUGUAUUUUGUGAUGUUCACGUGAUGUGUAAUGUCAUGUUCUAUGAUGUUUGUUAUAAUGUUCAUGUAGUACACAUGUUACGUUCUUUGUUUUUUUUGUUUACGUGUUACAUAUGUGAUGUUCUGUGGUGUUUUUUAUGUUCAUGUGAUGUUCUAUGAUGUAUUUUGUGAUGUUCACUUAGUAUACAUGUGAUGUUCUCGAGGUAUCCAUGUGAUAUUUUAUGAUGUAUUUUUGUGAUGUUCACGUAAUAUACAUGUGAUGUUCUCGUAGUAUACAUGUGAUAUUCUAUAAUGUUUUUUUGAUGUUCUCGUAGUACAUAGAUGAUGUUCUAUGAUUUUUUUGUGAUGUUCACACAGUAUACAUGUGAUAUAUUUAGUGAUGUUUUAUGGUGUAUUUAGUGAUGUUUUUUAGUAUACAUUUGAUGUUCUAUAGUAUAUUUUAGGAUGUUUGAAAAAUAUCCAUGUGAUGUUCUUUUAAAUUUUCUCUAUUACGUGUUUUUAUUUUUUUUCCAUAUGAUUUACUCUAUAUUUUUAUUAUUUUUAUUUAUGUUAUGUAUAUCUUUAUUUACUAUGUAUAUUAUAAUACCAAUUUUAUAAACCUAAAACUUGAAAAUUGUUCAACUAAACCAAGAAUAUUAUUCUAUGAUGUAUUAUAUUGUAUAUGUGCUAUAUACGUGAUGUUUUUAUGUGUUUUUAAUGUUCAUGUAACACCCUAAAAUUUACCCCUUUUGAAAUAUAGAUAAAAUUAUUUAAUUUUGUAUUUUAGUGCUCAUGAAAAUAUAGGAAAAAUAAUAUUUUUCAUUAAAUUAAAAUUUAUCAUAAGGCUUAGCAAUAUUAUUAUGCAUACAUGCUGGUGCAUAUGUUUUGAUGUGAUGCUUGUUGCUCCUUUAUGUGUUGAUAGUAAGAAAAAUAUUUAAAAUACGUUUAGUAGAUCGAUCUUCCAUAUUCGACACGUAUUUAUCUUUUAUCUACAACCAAAUUCCUUGUUUCUAAGCUAAAUUUUUAUUACGACCUUCCUAAAAUAUUUUCUUUGUCACUCAAAGCACUUCUUUUAGUUCCUCGUCCAUCAAGCACUCUCUACAAAUUUUUCGGGAAUUUUUUUCAGCUUCUGUUCUCACUUUUUUGUGAGCAUGAUCUAAUUUUUAGAUUCUCCAAACAAUCUUCUCAUGAGCUCCAAAAGCUUUAUUUGGGUUCCCCAUGUUCUAUAAUAUCUCUGAGAAUUUUUCCCGAAUUUUCGAAGCUUUCGGAGUAUUUUUCGUGGCUUAACUACUAAUUCUAAACUUUUCUAGAAUUAUUUUAUCAAUGAAAAUAAUUAAUUCCGAAAAUAAUAAAUCUCUUAUUAUUUUUCCAACUCAAAGCCCAUAAUAAAUCCCAAAAACCAUGUAGUUAUUUACUAAUGGGUUUUAAUAAUUAAUUAGGCCUAUUAGUAAAGAUGAAGGUUGCAAAUCAAUUAGUACCAUAUCGCUAGUUGACGUGGAGGUGGGGAGUUUUUCUCCCUAUAUAUAUGUACUAACCCCUUAGGCAAAGCACAUCAAAGACUAUCAUAUGGAAAGUCUCUAAUUUGAGAAUUCCUAAGGUAGUAAAAUAAAAUUUAUAUUUUCUUCUCUACAACGUGAUCGCCAUCGUAUCGCCUAUACACGACAUCUACGAGCGGUCGGCUGCUCCGGCGUUGCUGUAGCUCCAAGAAAGCGUCACUGCCGGUAAACCUACUCUCUGUCCACCAACGUAAGCCCCAAUCACUUUAUCAGUUCGGUUUUAGAUUAAAAAUACGUUUUCACUAUUUACAGAAUUGCCACUGACUUUCUUUUGGCCGUAAAAUAUUCAUCUUAACUCCGUUUUGACCCAUUCAAAUUGCGUUGGAUUCGUAUUAAUGAGCUCUACAUGUUAGUAACAUUUUUUCUCAGUUUGAACUUUUUAAUUUCGUGACCUUAAUUAAUUAAUUACUUUUCUAUCCAAAAUCUUAGAAAAUUAAUAACUUCUCCGUUUUAGCUCUGAUUUUCGUGAUCUUUACGUCUGCGAGAUCGUAGCGCCGCGUAGAAUCAUUUUAUAAACUUUCCAUACUGUUUUUAUAUGUAUGUUGUCUAUAUUGAAUUGCGUGUUGUUGAUUGAUGAUCGAGAUAGACGGUGAGCCGUACGUUGUUGAUUAAGACCAAGCUUUUAAAGACAUGCAGGCUCAGGAGAGCUUUGAUCAAGGCAAGUAUAAUUGGAGAUUAUCCUUGUUACCUAUACACAAUUAAUACAAUAUAUAUCAUAUGCAUGUGUCCACCUUGAUGACCUUAGCAAAAUCAUAGAUGAUUGUUAUCCUGAAUUCCUUGAUACCUAUUUGAUACGCAUUUGGGUAGUUCUUGCUAGUGCUUGAUUUUAACCCAUGAUCUUGUAACAUGAAUGUUUGGAUAUACAAUAAACAAUAAAAUAAGCUUUCUAGCAACUUGAAUAUAAAGGGUGGAAAGAACUCUGGCUUUUGCUGGAUUGAUCUUGACCCUCCAUAAGGACUUAUCCCUUGGUAAAAGCUGGGACAACUCGUACAACCAUGAGGGCUAUAUGGCUCUGGCUUUAGUCAAGUAUGAGUAAGCUUUUCUAGCUUGUUAGCGGUUACCCAAAAGGGCGCUAGAGGGGCUGAACUGUUUUGGGUAUAGUGUGGCAUAUAGGCUGCGAGUCAUUGUGCCAUCGGAAGGGGGGCUCUAUAUCUGCGCGCGAAGGAAACCUUGCGGCCCUAACUUGUUAGACGAACCUUUGAAAGACUUCAUAGUGAACCCUGCCGCCUUUUCUUGGAAGUGAGCUAAGAGGUCGACGGGCCUCGGGCGAAAGGGUAAAUCAUGACUCAUGGGUAAAGAUGUACAACAUCUGCAGAGUGUUAAAUCUGGUAUACUAGUCGUGCCCACGGAUACGGGCGGCCCGGAAAACUGCCGGAAUAGAUGGACACUGAUGAACAUGAUUAAUGAUGAUAAAUGAUGGAUUAUUAUAUUGUUUAUAUGUGUUAUCCUUAAUUCUUGUAUACAUUGAUCAUGUGGUUAUGAAAUUAAUUAUGCUACCUUGAUAUUUGCUAUCCAAUAAUUAAAUAUGCUAUCUACAUAUAAAAGCUAAAUGCAGUCAAACCAGUGUCAGCUUAUUGAGCCUCAUGAACCCCUGGUUAUACUUGUUGAGUACGAUAUGUGCUCACUCUUGCAAUUUCCCCCAUACCUCAGGAGGAGUUUAGGCUUGUGAUCAACCAGUCAGUUGGAUCCUGUAGAGUGAAGUUAAUACCCGAAGUUUGGAGUUGUCUAUCCGCUGUUUGCUAUCAAAGGUUAUCUCUUUUACAUAAUAUUAUGUACGUUAUAUAUUUUAUGCAUUGUCUUUUGAUAUUACCCCUUACUUGUAGCUAUAUGUGAGAUUUGACUUCUAAAACUCAUAUAUGUUGCAUAUCUAGUUUUGUCCUUAAAAUCGAGUAUUACAAAGUGGUAUCGAAGCAAUGCUGACUGUAGGACGCAAGCCUAGUUAGAAAUUUGUCGUCUUAAGGUUUUCGAAUUGUCAUAAAAUCCUUUCUCUAUAAACCUUGGUAUUUUCAUCCUUACUAUAUCCCUAUCCUUGCUAUUUGUCUCCACCUUGUUGCUUAUUUAUAAGUACAUGUUCUCACCUUCACUCCUUGAUUCAGUAUGCUCUUAGAACCUUUUCUUACUCCCUUCUUGCGUCUUUGAAACAUAAGUUUUAGGAUCUUUGCCCUUAAUGAAGAGAACGAUAAUAUCGCAAGUUGAGUGAAGUGUGCUUAGUUGGUUUGUUCUUAUGCUUAUGUUUGAUUUGGAUCUUUGUAAUGAUUGCAAUGAUCUUGUGGAAUUACUUCACAAUUUCAUUAGUUUAUAGACCUAAGGCAUAAGGAUUAAUGAAAUAAGUAGUUGGGUUUGGCUAUCUCUUGUUUCUAUCCCUUGCUGAUUUCUGGAGCAGUUUGCAAUAAUACUGGUGUAUCUAAAGGUCCGAUCGUGCAAAGUUUAUCAAAUUUUUCUGGGAACAACUAGACUUCAAGAUCUUUCUCUGACCGCAAGAAUCACCCUCAUAGCUAUUAUGGUUUGGAAGUUACAAAAAUCACAAGAUGAUACAGAUGUGCUGUCUAGAAUCUGGACCAUUUUCGGGAACUUGCUGUUUGAGACAAAUAUAACUAUAGAAUUUGGAAACGUGUUCUGUAGAAAAGUUAUAGACGACUUUCUAAGCUUUCCAACAGUAUAAGCUGGAACUUAUUUGGCUAAGUAGAACCUGAGAUAAGAUAUUUACAAUUGGAUGUUUCUGUUCUGUAUCAAAGUCUGGACAGUUUUGGUAUUCCCUAUUUUCGGCCAAGUUAAAGACAGAAUCUGGGAAACCAUUGUAUACGAAAGUUGUAGAGGAUUUCCCAAGAUUUUUAAAAAUGUAAGGAUCAUCUCCAGAUGAGUUAAGUAGCUCGAGAUAUAAUUUCUGGAAUUUACUGCACCUUUGCUGAGACAUUAUCAGGAAGGAUAUUAUGUUUGGUUAUUUUACCUAUGCUUAAAGACAGAACCUAAGGAGAACUUCUACAUGAGAGUUGUAGGGAAUUUCAUAAGUUUUCUAACGAUAUAAUCUGCAACUCUAUUGGAUUAACAGAAUAAGAGUUAUACCUGUUUUACUACGCUGGUAUUUUUCAUAUCGCGAGGAAAUUUCAGGAUACCUGUUUGCACCACUGUACAUAAGUUCUUUGGGAUGUCAGAAGUUCUCAAUGUUAACUUGUCUGGAAAUUAUGCAAGCUACCUUUCUUGGUCCCCUAGUUGACUUUUCUUAAGAGAGGUAGCCCAAUUAAAGAACUACAAGGAGAAGAAGCGGUUAAUAACUGGAACAUCUACAAGGACAUCAAGUGCUUGGUAUGUUGGUUUGUUUCAAGAUAUCAUUCUAUUUGGAGUGUGCUAAUACCAAUGGAGGUUUAUGUCAUUACUGAUACUCAUGGAUUAAGAGUUGUGUAUGAGGAUCAUAUGACACCAAAGUCUACAGAGUUGUAUGUAUAGUGUGAGAAUGAAGCAACUUAAGUGUGAUAAAGGUACCGAUAAUUGGAACUUAGUGAUGAAACUAACCAUGGAUCAAGAGACUCGGUACAGCGAAUUUAAAAGACUAUAUGAUGUGUAGCAUCUAAAAAGGAUAGGAGAAAUAAGUUUAAAGAAGGAUCGUACCUACUACACUAGGUGUCUCGUCAAUAUUUUAGAAAUACUUGAGAGGCUACUUGGAGUAAGAGAUUGGAAUCAUUGCUAUGAAGAUAUAACUACUCAAGAAAGUGAACAAGAUUCAAAAUCUACGUCUCUUUGAUAACCGUCUUCCGAAUCUCGAGGAUGAGAUUCAUCUUAAGGGGUAGAAUUGUAACACCCUAAAAUUUACCCCUUUUGAAAUAUAGAUAAAAUUAUUUAAUUUUGUAUUUUUGUGCUCAUGAAAAUAUAGGAAAAACAAUAUUUUUCAUUAAAUUAAAAUUUAUCAUAAGGCUUAGCAAUAUUAUUAUGCAUACAUGCUGGUGCAUAUGUUUUGAUGUGAUGCUUGUUGCUCCUUUAUGUGUUGAUAGUAAGAAAAAUAUUUAAAAUACGUUAUUCGACACGUAUUUAUCUUUUAUCUACAACCAAAUUCCUUGUUUCUAAGCUAAAUUUUUAUUAGGACCUUCCUAAAAUAUUUUCUUUGUCACUCAAAGCACUUCUUUUAGUUCCUCGUCCAUCAAGCACUCUCUACAAAUUUUUCGGGAAUUUUUUUCAGCUUCUGUUCUCAC